AUAGCAGCUAGAUGAAAGAAGCUAGUUGAGCUGUGGGAUAGAUUUAUGUCCCAGGCUAUUGAACUCUAUUCUCUCCAGAGGGAUGUUAUACUAGCUAUGGAUCACUGGCUUGUAGCUAUAGAUCUUAAAUGCCCUAUGAACAGUGUACUUUACUCAUAGCAAUCACGGAUAAAUCAACCCGUUCUAUUUAAAAGGCUUCUCUUGUUCUAUUAAACUGCUUAUAAGAAUGAAAUCGCUGUGUACUAACGUUUUUUUACACAGCCAGUGUCUAGUAACUCAUAAUGAUAGGUGACUAUGCAGAGCGAUUCAAAGUUGGAUAUUCCGUUGAAGGACACAAGGUUUUGCUGGGCUGAAUGAAGUUUACGGUCUAUGAGAAAUCAUCGUUCUCUUCAAAAAGAGGAGACACAGCACUUGGGACUCAUUUUCUUCCGUGCGCAUUCACGUCAGAAGAGAUGUCAAGCACACGCUGCGAGAUAAGCAAGUCCCAUUCACGGGGAUUUAAGCUUCACGAAAGUGAGAUUUAGCAAAGUGAGUGAUUGCAGUAAUAAUGUGAAAUGUGUAACAUAUUUAAAAAUCUUGUAUAGCAAGACUGUGCUCGUUUGUGGCUUUGAUAAAGCAACUCCAGAACUGUGUCAUCGGUGUACGUUUUUGUUUUGCUUGUUUUGGAGCCUGUGGUCCUCUAUUGUUGUUCAUUUAAUAAAGUUUAAUGUAUUUAA